rnacentral:rRNA from 1 species
GAUGAACGCUGGCGGCGUGCCUAAUACAUGCAAGUCGAGCGAACAGACGAGGAGCUUGCUCCUCUGACGUUAGCGGCGGACGGGUGAGUAACACGUGGAUAACCUACCUAUAAGACUGGGAUAACUUCGGGAAACCGGAGCUAAUACCGGAUAAUAUAUUGAACCGCAUGGUUCAAUAGUGAAAGACGGUUUUGCUGUCACUUAUAGAUGGAUCCGCGCCGCAUUAGCUAGUUGGUAAGGUAACGGCUUACCAAGGCAACGAUGCGUAGCCGACCUGAGAGGGUGAUCGGCCACACUGGAACUGAGACACGGUCCAGACUCCUACGGGAGGCAGCAGUAGGGAAUCUUCCGCAAUGGGCGAAAGCCUGACGGAGCAACGCUGCGUGAGUGAUGAAGGUCUUCGGAUCGUAAAACUCUGUUAUUAGGGAAGAACAAAUGUGUAAGUAACUAUGCACGUCUUGACGGUACCUAAUCAGAAAGCCACGGCUAACUACGU